GGUUUCGGAGCGCGGUCUGCCCCGUGGGGUAAGUAUCAGUGCUUGGGAGCCAUCCUCGAGGAGAACAUAUCUGUGAUUGAGUUCAUGGGUAUGGGAGCCUCGUCAUUUACUGUGAGCAAAAUAGGGUGUUCAAAGCAGGCUUAUGCCGUUGAAUACAUUAGCAUGGAAUAAUAAGAUAGGACCUUGGUCUAUUUUGUUGGUUAUUGAUCAAGGUA
rnacentral:rRNA from 1 species